rnacentral:rRNA from 1 species
GAUGAACGCUGGCGGCGUGCCUAAUACAUGCAAGUCGAGCGAACGGACGAGAAGCUUGCUUCUCUGAUGUUAGCGGCGGACGGGUGAGUAACACGUGGAUAACCUACCUAUAAGACUGGGAUAACUUCGGGAAACCGUAGCUAAUACCGGAUAAUAUUUUGAACCGCAUGGUUCAAAAGUGAAAGACGGUCUUGCUGUCACUUAUAGAUGGAUCCGCGCUGCAUUAGCUAGUUGGUAAGGUAACGGCUUACCAAGGCAACGAUGCAUAGCCGACCUGAGAGGGUGAUCGGCCACACUGGAACUGAGACACGUUCCAGACUCCUACGGGAGGCAGCAGUAGGGAAUCUUCCGCAAUGGGCGAAAGCCUGACGGAGCAACGCCGCGUGAGUGAUGAAGGUCUUCGGAUCGUAAAACUCUGUUAUUAGGGAAGAACAUAUGUGUAAGUAACUGUGCACAUCUUGACGGUACCUAAUCAGAAAGCCACGGCUAAGUACGUG